ensembl:lncRNA
CUCUGGAGAAGGGAAUGGCAACCCACUCCAGUAUUCUUGCCUGGGGAAUCCCGUGGACAGAGGAGCCUGGUGGGCUACAGUCCAUGGGGUCACACAGAGUUGGACACCACUGAGCAACUAACUACUACUACUGUAGCAAACAGGGGUCUGCUUUUGAACCAGAUAAAUGGAUUAGCUAGGAGUUAAAAAUAUUGAUUCAAUAAGUAUUUAUUGGACAUACAAAGUGAGCAAGAAAGAGCUUCUAGAGCUCUACAGGUAUUUUGUCAACUAUUUUGUGUAUGGUAAUUUAUAUGGUGGGACAUUUUUCAAAUACAUUAUAUUUUAAGACUCAAGGGAAUUUUAUUACAUAGGUGUCCUACAAAAGCUUAGAUAGACUUGCCUAGUUAGUGGCAGAGGUAAGACUUCAACCUGGAUUCUCUGACUCCUAGUAUAGAGCAACUGUGUCUGUCUUAAGAGUAAGAAUAAUUGCUGAAAAAGAGAUAAUAUCCUGUUAUCCCCAACUGAGAGACAUGUGGCUCCACAGUGUAUGUCUGUGAAAGUCUGUCAUUUAUAAAUCUGCCUUCCUCCUUUAUCUAGGAGGAUAAAUAAAGCUGCUAUUAUGGGUUUUUCCAAUGGCAAAGAUAAAGUUGAUUUUAAAAUUUCAGAAAUAUAAAGAGAGUCCAGGACUGAUGGGCAUGCUCGUUUCCAUGAAGUUUUUGAGGAUCUAGGAUCCUUUUAGCUCAUCACUGUAGCCGAUCCAAGGAGGGCUCUCGUUUCCCUGAAGCAGUGUGGGUGGCUACAGCUCUAAUCAUCUCAUCUAUAUUCUCUUGGACGAAAGACAAGAAGGGAGCAGUAGGCAAAUGCCAGUGGUGUUUUGCAUAAGAAUUGUGGAAGCUGCCAUAGGACACUUUCACUUACGUCUUACACUGGCCAGAACUGAGUUGCAUGGGCAUAUCUAGCUGCAGAAGAGGCUGGGAAGCUGUCUUUGUUUCAUGCUACCAUAUGUUCUGCUAAAAUUUGGGCAUUCUCUUGGAGGAAGAAAAAUAUAUUAAGGGAAUGAAGUGUAAUCUAUGCCACAUUAUUUUUGAUUAUUGAAUGCAAAUAAUAUGAAAAUUAGUUCUUAUAAAUUUUUUUCAACAAGUCUUUGUUGAUUACUAUGUGCUAGGAAUAACAGGAACUCACAGUUGUAUGUAUUUUAACUUAAAUACUCAUAGUAACCAAUAUUGCUGAUGGAAUGGGUUUUCAGUUGAUAACUGCUAAUGCAAUCACUUUUGAUCUAAUAACUCAAUUGUGGCAACUAGAUUAAGUGUGUAAGUUAUUUCUAGUGAUACUGUUUAGUUAAUAUAUUUGUAUUGUGACAUUUGUGUUUUCUUAAACAUUCUGUAAUUCAUCCACGUAUACAAGCUCAGUACUUGGUACAAGUGAUGUAAAGCCAAGUAAACGAGUGUGUGUGUACGUGCUUAGUCACUUCAGUCAUGUCCAACUCUUUGCGACCCUAUGGACUG